AACCUUUUUAUUGCCUUUUUUUAUGCUAUAUAUAGUGCGUCAGCUUCGGCUGACUAUGGUGAUAAACGCUUUAUGGAAUAGACGCAGCGGACCCGGGGGCAGUACCCGGCGCCUCCACCACAUAAGAUCGUGUACUAAUAGGGGGGCGAAAUAGGAUCGACGCGUGUAGUAAAGAUGAAGUUUUUGCUCGGCAUGAUACCGCCGUUAUCGGGUCAUUUCUACAGAUGCCAACGACAAUGUUGACAUGAGUGGUGUUGCAGUUGCUGCUUAACCUUCGCUUUGCGAAGCAAGAGUAGUUUGCUAACCACGCGGUUUGGAGGGCACCGGGCAACAGAAGCCCUCCGCU
rnacentral:tmRNA from 1 species